UAUCCCAGUUGUGACUAUUUGACUCGAAUACGAUCAAUCUAGCCAUGAGCAGGUUGAAGAGAACUCCAACAAGCCUUGGAGGAUUGAACCACAUAUGUGGAAAAAUAUGGGGAUGACCUGUGGCUAGGGGUGAAAGGUCAACCAAUAUCAAAUAUAGUUAGUUUUCUGCGAAAUCUAUUUUAGUAGAAUGUGCAUAUAAUAUGGCUCGAGGUAAAGCACUCAAUGGGCUAGGGUGGCCCAAAGCUUGACCAAACCCAAGGAGACUCCAGGUAUAGGCUUAAUCAAUUGUACAAAGAGAUGGACUUUGGGUGAUAAGAUCUAGAGUCCAGAGGGAAACAACCCAGAUCAUACGCUAAGGUCCCUAAGGAAUCGCUCAAUGAUAAAGGAAGUGGAACAAUUUAUGAAUCCAUAGUAAGAUGAUUGAGUCCCAUUCCCCACGUGCAGGAUUAGGUGAAAGAAUGCACAAUCAAUGAGAACUAUAUACCCCUAGUUCAUAUAUUAGUUAUCGGGGCUAAACAAUGGCAAAACAAGAGAUAUGUAUGAAUUUAUUGUCAUACAAACUUAAAGUUGAGAAAGGGUA
rnacentral:ncRNA from 1 species